rnacentral:rRNA from 1 species
GAUGAACGCUGGCGGCGUGCUUAACACAUGCAAGUCGAACGGAAAGGCUCCUGCUUGCAGGGGUACUCGAGUGGCGAACGGGUGAGUAACACGUGGGUGAUCUGCCCUGCACUUCGGGAUAAGCCUGGGAAACUGGGUCUAAUACCGGAUAGGACGAUGGUUGGAUGCCAUUGUGGAAAGUUUUUUCGGUGUGGGAUGAGCUCGCGGCCUAUCAGCUUGUUGGUGGGGUAAUGGCCUGCCAAGGCGUCGACGGGUAGCCGGCCUGAGAGGGUGUACGGCCACAUUGGGACUGAGAUACGGCCCAGACUCCUACGGGAGGCAGCAGUGGGGAAUAUUGCACAAUGGGCGCAAGCCUGAUGCAGCGACGCCGCGUGGGGGAUGACGGCCUUCGGGUUGUAAACUCCUUUCGCUAGGGACGAAGCGCAAGUGACGGUACCUGGAGAAGAAGCACCGGCUAACUACGUG